rnacentral:rRNA from 1 species
CAGUCGCCGCGGUAAUUCGUAGGUGGCAAGCGUUGUCCGGAAUUAUUGGGCGUAAAGGGCUCGCAGGCGGUUUCUUAAGUCUGAUGUGUAAGCCCCCGGCUCAACCGGGGAGGGUCAUUGGAAACUGGGAAACUUGAGUGCGGAAGAGGAGAGUGGAAUUCCACGUGUAGCGGUGAAAUGCGUAGAGAUGUGGAGGAACACCAGUGGCGAAGGCGACUCUCUGGUCUGUAACUGACGCUGAGGAGCGAAAGCGUGGGGAGCGAACAGGAUUAGAUACCCCCGUAGUCCCUGUCUCUUAUAA